UGGCGGACGGGUGAGUAAUGUCUGGGAAACUGCCCGAUGGAGGGGGAUAACUACUGGAAACGGUAGCUAAUACCGCAUAACGUCGCAAGACCAAAGAGGGGGACCUUCGGGCCUCUUGCCAUCGGAUGUGCCCAGAUGGGAUUAGCUAGUAGGUGGGGUAACGGCUCACCUAGGCGACGAUCCCUAGCUGGUCUGGGAGGAUGACCAGCCACACUGGAACUGAGACACGGUCCAG
rnacentral:rRNA from 1 species